rnacentral:rRNA from 1 species
UACGGAGGAUGCGAGCGUUAUCCGGAUUUACUGGGUGUAAAGGGAGCGUAGACGGCGAUGCAAGUCUGAAGUGAAAGGCGGGGGCCCAACCCCCGGACUGCUUUGGAAACUGUAUAGCUGGAGUGCAGGAGAGGUAAGUGGAAUUCCUAGUGUAGCGGUGAAAUGCGUAGAUAUUAGGAGGAACACCAGUGGCGAAGGCGGCUCUCUGGUCUGUAACUGACGCUGAGGCUCGAAAGCAUGGGUAGCGAACAGG